AGGGAAAGCACGCAAUUACAGUGUGUGUGUUUAAUUGUGUUGUCAUUCUGACGGUCUUGCUAACAUUAGCUUUUCAUGGAGAUUGCUGUAAUGCUAGCUUUCUAGCUUUUCAUGUGCACAUGUUGGGCUUAAGGUUUGAUUGGUGUUAAUGUGUAUGGCAAAUACAGUAUAUGGAUAAGGUUUCUAAUGUUUACAUUUUUAGUAAGAGCUCAAUGUAUUUUAUUUGUCUGUCCUUUAGCUCUUACGGUGUUUAAAGAAGAAAAGGUGUUUUCUGAAGGAAGGAUUUUACAGAAAGCAAAGUGAAUUUGUGUUCAAAAUAUGGCUGACGGCUGAACAUAAAUAAAAGGCUUCUGAAACAUCA